rfam:Jeotgalibacillus malaysiensis strain D5, complete genome.
UGGACAUGUCUCCUAUUCCAGUAUCAGGGGAGGCACUCGGUCACCAGGUGGGAUUUGGUUCCUUAGACACGUGGGUUGUCAGGCUGGUGGUGUGAGGGUGGGUUGAAUGCCCG